rnacentral:pre_miRNA from 1 species
GUCUUACUCCCUCCGUCCCAAAAUUCUUGUCUUAGAUUUGUCUAGAUACGGAUGUAUCUAAUACUAAAACGUGACUUGAUACAUCCGUAUUUAGACAAAUCUAAGACAAGAAUUUUGGGACGGAGGGAGUAUUUG